rnacentral:ncRNA from 1 species
GAAGGCUGAUGUGUGUGAGAUUACCCGCUGAAUUUAAGCAUAUAAGUAAGCGGAGGAAAAGAAACUAACUAGGAUUCCCUUAGUAAUGGCGAAUGAACAGGGAUCAGCUCAGUGCCAAAUCGGAAUCACUUGUGGUUCUGAAAUGUGGCUUGAAGGCAGUACCAGUGGCAUCGCGGACGAAAGUCUCUUGGAAAAGAGCGUCAUAGAGGGUGAGAAUCCCGUGAGUCGUUCGCCGUUUGUCACGUACGGUCUGCGUUCUAACGAGUCGCGUUCCUUGGGAUUGGAGCGUAAACGGGUGGUAAAUUUCAUCCAAAGCAAAAUAUAUACUCGAGACCGAUAGCACAAAAGUACCGUGAGGGAAAGGUGAAAAGAACUUUGAGAAGAGGGUUAAAUAGUGCCUGAAAUCGUUGAGAAGGAAGCGGAUGCCGCCGUUGCAUAUGCUGAUUGUAGGAUUGCUGCUCGCUCCUGUCUUCUGCUACUCAUUCACAGACCUGGUCGUGUUGAGCAGUUGUUUGGCAGAUGUUAGUGGUGUUUCCUACUUUCAGUCGUCAGCAUCACUGGCUGAGUGGAAAUAAUCCUUGGAUGCUAAUUGGUUCGCUAUCUGUGAAUUGGUUGCUUCCUUGCGAUACUCACUACUCGGUCAGUGAGGAAGUGCGUUUGCUGGUCAACGAGCUUUCUAACUGUCAUUACCCUGCGCUUUUCGAUUCGUCGAGUGGCCAGGAUGUGGCUUUGAGAUUGUUCGCACUUAGUAAUCGCGAUGCUGGCUUCCAACGGUUGCCUCCGGCCCGUCUUGAAACACGGACCAAGGAGUCUAACGUA